UUAAGUUCAGCGGGUAUUCCUACCUAAUCCGAGGUCAACAUUUGAUAUGGGGGGUUUUACGGCGUGGAGGCGGGGCAAUAUCCAAAGCGAGACAAAAAGAUUGUGUAAUACGCUUAGAGUGCUCCCUGACUCCGCCAAUGGUUUUCAGGAACUACAGGGUAACCCGUAGACUCCCAACGCUAAGCAACAGAGGCUUAAGG
rnacentral:misc_RNA from 1 species